UACGUAGGGCGCAAGCGUUGUCCGGAAUUAUUGGGCGUAAAGAGCUCGUAGGCGGUCUGUCGCGUCUGCUGUGAAAACCCGAGGCUCAACCUCGGGCCUGCAGUGGGUACGGGCAGGCUAGAGUGCGGUAGGGGAGAAUGGAACUCCUGGUGUAGCGGUGGAAUGCGCAGAUAUCAGGAAGAACACCGAUGGCGAAGGCAGUUCUCUGGGCCGUAACUGACGCUGAGGAGCGAAAGCGUGGGGAGCAAACAGG
rnacentral:rRNA from 1 species